GGGUCAGUAGGUUGGUCGUGCCACCGGUACGUACUGGUCUCACUGAUUCCUCCCUCCUGAAGAACCGUAAUGCCAUUAAUUUGGUGUUGCGGGGAAACAGGACUGCUACUUUGAAAAAAUUAGAGUGUUUAAAGCAAGCUAACGCUUGAAUACAUUAGCAUGGAAUAAUGAAAUAGGACGAUCGAUCCUAUUUUGUUGGUUUCUAGGAUUGACGUA
rnacentral:rRNA from 1 species